rnacentral:rRNA from 1 species
UAGGGAAUCUUCCACAAUGGACGCAAGUCUGAUGGAGCAACGCCGCGUGAGUGAAGAAGGUCUUCGGAUCGUAAAGCUCUGUUGUUGGUGAAGAAGGAUAGAGGCAGUAACUGGUCUUUAUUUGACGGUAAUCAACCAGAAAGUCACGGCUAACUACGUGCCAGCAGCCGCGGUAAUACGUAGGUGGCAAGCGUUGUCCGGAUUUAUUGGGCGUAAAGCGAGCGCAGGCGGAAUGAUAAGUCUGAUGUGAAAGCCCACGGCUCAACCGUGGAACUGCAUCGGAAACUGUCAUUCUUGAGUGCAGAAGAGGAGAGUGGAACUCCAUGUGUAGCGGUGGAAUGCGUAGAUAUAUGGAAGAACACCAGUGGCGAAGGCGGCUCUCUGGUCUGCAACUGACGCUGAGGCUCGAAAGCAUGGGUAGCGAACAGGAUUAGAUACCCUGGUAGUCCAUGCCGUAAACGAUGA